rnacentral:rRNA from 1 species
CCUACGGGUGGCAGCAGUAGGGAAUAUUGCUCAAUGGGGGAAACCCUGAAGCAGCGACGCCGCGUGAGUGAAGAAGUAAUUCGUUAUGUAAAGCUCUAUCAGCAGGGAAGAAAAGGACGGUACCUGAGUAAGAAGCCCCGGAGAACUACGUGCCAGCAGCCGCGGUAAGACGUAGGGGGCAAGCGUUACCCGGAUUUACUGGGUGUAAAGGGAGCGUAGACGGUAGGGCAAGUCUGGAGUGAAAGGCGGGGGCUCCACCCCCGGACGGCCGGGGAAACUGUCCGGCUGGAGUGCAGGAGAGGUAAGUGGUAUUCCUGGUGUAGCGGUGAGAUGCGUAGAUCUUAGGCGCACCCCCAGUGGCGACGGCGGCUUACUGGCCUGUACCUGCCGUUGAGGCUCGACAGCGUGGGGAGCAAACAGGAUUAGAUACCCCAGUAGUC